rnacentral:rRNA from 1 species
UACGUAGGGGGCAAGCGUUAAUCGGAAUUACUGGGCGUAAAGCGUGCGCAGGCGGCUUUGCAAGACAGAUGUGAAAUCCCCGGGCUUAACCUGGGAACUGCAUUUGUGACUGCAUGGCUGGAGUGCGGCAGAGGGGGAUGGAAUUCCGCGUGUAGCAGUGAAAUGCGUAGAUAUGCGGAGGAACACCGAUGGCGAAGGCAAUCCCCUGGGCCUGCACUGACGCUCAUGCACGAAAGCGUGGGGAGCAAACAGG